rnacentral:rRNA from 1 species
CCUACGGGAGUCUGCAGUGAGGAAUAUUGGUCAAUGGACGCAAGUCUGAACCAGCCAUGCCGCGUGCAGGAAGACGGCUCUAUGAGUUGUAAACUGCUUUUGUACGAGGGUAAACGCAGAUACGCGUAUCUGUCUGAAAGUAUCGUACGAAUAAGGAUCGGCUAACUCCGUGCCAGCAGCCGCGGUACUACGGAGGAUUCAAGCGUUAUCCGGAUUUAUUGGGUUUAAAGGGUGCGUAGGCGGUCGGAUAAGUUAGAGGUGAAAUCCCGAGGCUCAACUUCGGAAUUGCCUCUGAUACUGUUCGGCUAGAGAGUAGUUGCGGUAGGCGGAAUGUAUGGUGUAGCGGUGAAAUGCUUAGAGAUCAUACAGGACACCGAUUGCGAAGGCAGCUUACUAAGCUACUUCUGACGUUGAGGCACGAAAGCGUGGGGAGCAAACAGGAUUAGAUACCCCAGUAGUC